rnacentral:rRNA from 1 species
GACGAACGCUGGCGGCGUGCCUAAUACAUGCAAGUAGGACGCAGUUGCGAACGGGUGAGUAACGCGUAGGUAACUACCUAUUAGAGGGGGAUAACUAUUGGAAACGAUAGCUAAUACCGCAUACUAGUAGAUGGACCUGCGUUGUAUUAGCUAGUAGGUAGGGUAAUGGCCUACCUAGGCAACGAUACAUAGCCGAACUGGGAGGGGGAUCGACCACACUGGGACUGAGGCACGGCCCAAAAGCCUGCGGAAGGCAGCAGGAGGGAAGCUUCGGAAAUGGGGGGAACCCUGACCGAGCAAAGCCGCGGGAGUGAAGAAGGUUUUCGGAUCGGAAAGCUAUGUUGUUAAGGAAGCGGUACUUAACCAGAAAGGGACGGCUAACUACGUGCCAGCAGCCGCGGUAAUUC